AAAUUGAAGAGUUUGAUCAUGGCUCAGAUUGAACGCUGGCGGCAGGCCUAACACAUGCAAGUCGAACGGUAGCACAGAGAGCUUGCUCUCGGGUGACGAGUGGCGGACGGGUGAGUAAUGUCUGGGAAACUGCCUGAUGGAGGGGGAUAACUACUGGAAACGGUAGCUAAUACCGCAUAACGUCGCAAGACCAAAGAGGGGGACCUUCGGGCCUCUUGCCAUCAGAUGUGCCCAGAUGGGAUUAGCUAGUAGGUGGGGUAAUGGCUCACCUAGGCGACGAUCCCUAGCUGGUCUGAGAGGAUGACCAGCCACACUGGAACUGAGACACGGUCCAGACUCCUACGGGAGGCAGCAGUGGGGAAUAUUGCACAAUGGGCGCAAGCCUGAUGCAGCCAUGCCGCGUGUAUGAAGAAGGCCUUCGGGUUGUAAAGUACUUUCAGCGGGGAGGAAGGUGUUGUGGUUAAUAACCGCAGCAAUUGACGUUACCCGCAGAAGAAGCACCGGCUAACUCCGUGCCAGCAGCCGCGGUAAUACGGAGGGUGCAAGCGUUAAUCGGAAUUACUGGGCGUAAAGCGCACGCAGGCGGUCUGUCAAGUCGGAUGUGAAAUCCCCGGGCUCAACCUGGGAACUGCAUUCGAAACUGGCAGGCUAGAGUCUUGUAGAGGGGGGUAGAAUUCCAGGUGUAGCGGUGAAAUGCGUAGAGAUCUGGAGGAAUACCGGUGGCGAAGGCGGCCCCCUGGACAAAGACUGACGCUCAGGUGCGAAAGCGUGGGGAGCAAACAGGAUUAGAUACCCUGGUAGUCCACGCCGUAAACGAUGUCGACUUGGAGGUUGUUCCCUUGAGGAGUGGCUUCCGGAGCUAACGCGUUAAGUCGACCGCCUGGGGAGUACGGCCGCAAGGUUAAAACUCAAAUGAAUUGACGGGGGCCCGCACAAGCGGUGGAGCAUGUGGUUUAAUUCGAUGCAACGCGAAGAACCUUACCUACUCUUGACAUCCAGAGAACUUUCCAGAGAUGGAUUGGUGCCUUCGGGAACUCUGAGACAGGUGCUGCAUGGCUGUCGUCAGCUCGUGUUGUGAAAUGUUGGGUUAAGUCCCGCAACGAGCGCAACCCUUAUCCUUUGUUGCCAGCGGUUAGGCCGGGAACUCAAAGGAGACUGCCAGUGAUAAACUGGAGGAAGGUGGGGAUGACGUCAAGUCAUCAUGGCCCUUACGAGUAGGGCUACACACGUGCUACAAUGGCGCAUACAAAGAGAAGCGACCUCGCGAGAGCAAGCGGACCUCAUAAAGUGCGUCGUAGUCCGGAUUGGAGUCUGCAACUCGACUUCAUGAAGUCGGAAUCGCUAGUAAUCGUAGAUCAGAAUGCUACGGUGAAUACGUUCCCGGGCCUUGUACACACCGCCCGUCACACCAUGGGAGUGGGUUGCAAAAGAAGUAGGUAGCUUAACCUUCGGGAGGGCGCUUACCACUUUGUGAUUCAUGACUGGGGUGAAGUCGUAACAAGGUAACCGUAGGGGAACCUGCGGUUGGAUCACCUCCUUACCUUAAAGAA
rnacentral:rRNA from 1 species